CUUUAGCCUGAGGAUAGCCAGUAAGCGUUCAUCAUUCAAAAGAGUUUGGUUGGGGGAGAGUGACGACCAGACGCUACAGGGUACGUUGUUAAUUUUUUAAGGGGUGCUGAUUUAUAAAUCAUCAUGGUAGUGAUUAUCUUUUCGCAGUGAUGGGUCGCUGGAAUAAAGCUGAGGUGAAGCAUUGAGUGAAGAAGAUGAGCCACAGGACAUCUAUGCAUGUGAAGAGCAGCUGAAAACUUGGUGAACACAAAACUGCCAGGGGCAGAUAAAAUUUAAUACAUGAACACCGUGAAUGCUGUCUAUCAAAAACAAUAUUCAAGCUAUUGUUCCAGAGAGAAUAAUCCAGACGAUAUUUUGGGAAGAUAUUUGUGCACCAAACUAAUAAUACACGUCCCUGAAUUCCAGUCAACGGUAGAGUCCAGGAUAACGUAUCACUGAGAAAACAAAACUUGAUUCACUGGGUGGAGUAUUCACAUUUAUCUGGACUAAAUUUCAAAAGCUGGAAAUGCAUCCAGGUGCAGAGGUGAAAAGAAAAAAGAAGAAGUAUUUUUAAAAUUUGAUCAGUAGAGAAGAUUCUGACAACUCAAGGCUUAAUGCAAAAUAAAACUUCCUCUCAUAACUGUCUUGGAGUUGUCUGACUGUCUAUGAGCUACAGAUUUUUCUUCCUUGAUGACUGUUCCUCUCAAACCAGCAGCUCCUACCUCCAGGAAUGCAAACCCAGAGAUUUUACAUUGGGAGAGAUUAGGAAUCCUGGAAUUCUCAGCGUGGGACAUUAAUUAAAGUUUCCUCCCCAUUUUCAGCCGGGUUGACUGAGCCUCUCAUCCAAGAUCUAGUCCCAGAUACAGAAUAAGGACCAAUCAGAAAGAUGACAUCAGCGCACACAGCCACAGCUUGGCACUUUCAUCCAUGAGGACCUCCAGCUUAAGGACUCUCAGGAGUCAAGCUACCAAGCUUCGCACAAUAUGAUGUUUCGGUAGAGAAUUCAAUAAUAUUGCUAAAUGCAAGCACCGUGCACAACCCUAUUUAGAAACCCUGGGGCCCCUUUGCAUCCGUAUUGCGUUUUUAAUUCAAGGAGGACACGUCUCAGAAGUCAGGAUGCUGAGCAACACGCUUUGCUGUCUGCACAAAACUGUCUCUAGGACUAUUACUGCUCUUGGGAUGGGGUGCUUUCAUGCAAAAAAGGUUUCAUUGUAGUUAGCAAGGACUGAGUAUGCAGACUGAAAAAAAAAUCCUUUUAAUGCAAAGCCUUUGCACUUGUUAACUUCCCCGGAAAUGAAUGCACCUCAGGCAAGUAUAGGGACGCUGGAACCAGGCUGAGACACUGCAGCCCCAACCUUGCUUCCUGGAGGAAGCUGAUCUCGCGAGAUCUUUCGAAGUCUCGCAGGUGUUCACGGCAUCAUCUCGCGGUGUUUCGUGGGGUCUCGCGGGAUGCUGGGGGCUAUAGGGAUGUCUGCGGAGGCCAGGAGGAGCAUCCUGAGCAGGGAGAGGCUGGAAGCUGGGGGACCAGAGUCUUUUGGUGCCCCUACCGGCUCCUACCACCUCUCCCGCCGACCGUCUUCCUCGUGAUGCCCACGCCCGCCUCUAGUCCCGGCUGCCCGGCCAGGCUCUGGGCCGAAGACAGUGUCAAGGCCACACCUGGGGUUGCUCUGUGCAAACGGGGGCCACACAUUUAGCCUGAAAGGCGGGGGCAGCCCCGAGGGCUUCCGAGCAGGGACCCUGGGACUCCAGUUCCACUUCUACCGACGUCCCAGACCGCACCACCAAGGACGGGCAGCUGCCAGGUGUGGGGAGUUCAAGGAGAGCAGCUGUACCUGGUCCCCAAGCCUCUGCCCUGGAGCACAGCUUCGAAGCAUUUCGGUAAUUACCUCCCCCGGAGGGAAAUAGAAUUCCUCCAACGUUUUGCUUUUGCACAGAGACUUGAUACCUAAUAGGUGGAGACCAGCUUGGAAGCAUUUGGGACAUUCCCUGCCCAGGCAUCCUGGCAACUGUGAAAAGUGCACUAGAACGCCUCUUGAACCUUCGCCCAGGGACAGACGGCCGUUUGUCUGAUGGACCUGUGACCCUGGACCUCUGGCCGUGAGGUCAGGGCGGAAGUCUUCCAUGGAAGAGGGGUCCUCACGCCUGAAUCCCUGUGGCCCUGACAGAUCAGCGUGGGUAAGUGGACGGAAGGUGGCCGUGAUGGGCACUGUAUGCAGAGGACAUGGAUUUACAGGCUCAAGGAGGCUCUCCCCACAGGGCAUCAGGAGUGAGGCAGUAGCCACGCAGAAAUGUGGAGCCUAGCAGGGCUUUUCAAAUUGUAUUGGGCGCAGAAGCGUGUUUGCAGACUCGUAAACAUGGGGUGGGAGAUUGGUAAAACAUUGAUGAUGUUGCAGAGAGAGAGAGACAGAAAGAGGGGAAUGGCUAGAGUCCCAGUGUCUGUUUGAAACGUCAGCAGCUAAGAUUAUAUAACUUUUAGUUCUUGACCUGCAUUUGUACCCCUUGGGUCUCCUGGCCCGCUUCUGAAGGCACAUCUUUCAAUGUCAUGGGAAGUGGCUGAGUGUGUUGGCUCUGAGUUGUGAAUCUGAUUCUUGGUCAAGUGUUUGUCCAGGAUUCCGACUGGCUUACCGCGGUCCUCACUGCUGGCAUUCAUAGGGGAACAGCAGGGUGUGUUUGUUCAGUAGGAUUAAGCGGCUCUUUGAGGUAGUAGGUAUCCUGGAAGAAUUGGUUUUUGUUUUGUUUUGUUUUGUUUUUUUCCCUACAUUUGCAUUUCUGAGGAGGCUGGUAUUUGCUGGCCUGUGGGGACGUGAGGUGAAUUUGUGACUGCCACACAAGCCUCCGUGUUUGUGUCUGUGUGUGCCUUCACUCUCAUGCAUGGACAUACCUGCCUCCAAUCCAAAGGGCUUCACAGCCUGCUGCUCCCCUGCAGCCUUCGUUUUCAUGAUUUCACAUGGGGUCUCAAUUAUUAUCAGUGUUUACCUAAGGGAGGGUCUUAAGGAGUUAGUUCAGGAGAAGCUUUCGGCCCUAAGAAACAGAAAGAAAACCAACACCCACGUUCAGCAAAUGAUCUUUUAUUGUUUUGUUUUCUGUCCAACAUCACUGAGUUAUUUUUAUUCAUUUCCACUGAAGUAUCGUUCACGUGCAAUAUUGCAUGUUUCGGGUGUACAAUAGUUGAUAUAUAAUAUUCUCUGUUACAGGUACACAAUAUAGUGAUUGAUGAUUGUUAAAAGUUAUACCCCAUUUAUAGUUAUUAAAAAACAUGGGCUCUAUUCCCUGUGUCGUACAAUAUAUCCCUGCAAGUCCUGUGGACCUCUGAACCCUCAACCCCUGUCUUGCCUCUCUCUGCUCCCAGUGGUAACCACUGGUUUGUUCUCUGUACCUGUGAGUCCAUUUCUUUUUUUGCGAUAUUCACUAGUGUGUUGUA